rnacentral:rRNA from 1 species
AGACCCGAAACCCGGUGAUCUAGCCAUGGGCAGGUUGAAGGUUGGGUAACACUAACUGGAGGACCGAACCGACUAAUGUUGAAAAAUUAGCGGAUGACCUGUGGCUGGGGGUGAAAGGCCAAUCAAACCGGGAGAUAGCUGGUUCUCCCCGAAAGCUAUUUAGGUAGCGCCUCGUGAAUUCAUCUCCGGGGGUAGAGCACUGUUUCGGCUAGGGGGCCAUCCCGGCUUACCAACCCGAUGCAAACUGCGAAUACCGGAGAAUGUUAUCACGGGAGACACACGGCGGGUGCUAACGUCCGUCGUGAAGAGGGAAACAACCCAGACCGCCAGCUAAGGUCCCAAAGUCAUGGUUAAGUGGGAAACGAUGUGGGAAGGCCCAGACAGCCAGGAUGUUGGCUUAGAAGCAGCCAUCAUUUAAAGAAAGCGUAAUAGCUCACUGGUCGAGUCGGCCUGCGCGGAAGAUGUAACGGGGCUAAACCAUGCACCGAAGCUGCGGCAGCGACGCUGAUGCGUUGUUGGGUAGGGGAGCGUUCUGUAAGCCUGCGAAGGUGACCUGUGAGGGUUGCUGGAGGUAUCAGAAGUGCGAAUGCUGACAUAAGUAACGAUAAAGCGGGUGAAAAGCCCGCUCGCCGGAAGACCAAGGGUUCCUGUCCAACGUUAAUCGGGGCAGGGUGA